GUCAUUUUCUCAUAAAAAAGGAGUGAUUGAAAUGGUUUACAUUAAAGUGAAUUAAUGUUUGAGUCUUGGAAUGAUAUUGUUAAGAAAUCUCCAUGAGAGGGGCUGUUUUGUUUAAAAUACACCAAUGUUUUGGGGAAAGGACUCGUUUUAAAUAAAAGGGUUCAAAAGAGGGGUUAAAUGUGUGUAUUUUGUAAAAUGAAGAUGAUUUAGGGCUUUUGUGAAAAGAAAUCUCAUGGAGGGAUCGUUUUUCUUUAAUGCCCCAAACUGAAAAGAAAUUAGGGCUUUUUGUGCCUCGUCGUCAUUUGUUCGAUCAGUCAUACGUAAGAAGAACGGAACGGAUCACGAAGGAACGGAGCUGUUGAGCGAAGGCUCACAGUGAUGAAUAAGUUUUGUCGGUCGAUUUGCGAAGUGGGAGGCGUCUUCGGGGAUCGACGAGGCGAAGAAAGAAGAUGGGGAGCAAUAGUAAGGCUGCUUUCGUCCUCGUCUGGCUUUGAGGUGCGAACGAGAGAAGGGUCUGAUGGGGGUCCGGUGAGGUGUCGCGAGCAGCGGCAGUGACGAAGACGAGGUCCUCGUUGUAUGUUCGUCGAUUGGAAGAAAAUAGAGAGAGCGAGGGGCGAAAAGGGAAAGCGAUUCGGGGGUUUUCAGAUCGAGUGUUUGGUGUGGCUAAGGGGUUGCGAAGGAAACGGGAAACAGAAGCAGCGGUGCUGCUGGUGGUCUCGGUGGGUACAACGAGGGCUGCUCAAGCAGUUCCUCGGCUACUUUCUUCAGUUCCGAUGGUUGCAGGAGAAGAAUAAGGGUGGAGUAUCAUCGAAUGGGUGGUGGAGGCUGGUUCGAUAGUGGCGAAUCUGUAGGGCACAGGAAGGGAGGCAGUCGACCUUUGGAGGAAAAAAAUACACACACUUCGGUGUGUUCAUGAUAUCAACGAAGAAGGUGAAGGAAAGUGGGGUUUGGUGUUUCAAAGCUUCAAUUGGGAAAAGAGUUUAUAACAUGAUUUGCUUAGAGAGUGGUUUUGUAUAACAUGAUUUUUUUAUAGUGUUUGGUUUUGUAUAACAUGAUUUUCUAGCUUAGGUAGUUGAUCAAUAUAUGGGAGGUAUGGGUUUUAAACUUGUAAGUCAUAUAUUCAAUAAAUCAUAGGUAUUAUUAUGAUUUCGGGAA